GACGAACGCUGGCGGCGUGCUUAACACAUGCAAGUCGAACGGAAAGGCCCUGCUUUUGUGGGGUGCUCGAGUGGCGAACGGGUGAGUAACACGUGAGUAACCUGCCCUUGACUUUGGGAUAACUUCAGGAAACUGGGGCUAAUACCGGAUAGGAGCUCCUGCUGCAUGGUGGGGGUUGGAAAGUUUCGGCGGUUGGGGAUGGACUCGCGGCUUAUCAGCUUGUUGGUGGGGUAGUGGCUUACCAAGGCUUUGACGGGUAGCCGGCCUGAGAGGGUGACCGGCCACAUUGGGACUGAGAUACGGCCCAGACUCCUACGGGAGGCAGCAGUGGGGAAUAUUGCACAAUGGGCGGAAGCCUGAUGCAGAAACGCCGCGUGCGGGAUGACGGCCUUCGGGUUGUAAACAGCUUUCGCCUGUGACGAAGAGUGAGUGACGGUAAUGGGUAAAGAAGCACCGGCUAACUACGUG
rnacentral:rRNA from 1 species